rnacentral:ncRNA from 1 species
AUAAAGGCUGUGAAGGAGAGGAGUAACUUUCGGAGAGUUUAUAGAGAGAAGAUGGUAGCUGGAAAUCUUCAAUGAACCGUUAGUGAAGCAGUUCCGGAGCUUUGAACCCAACGGCAUUAUUGCUUAGUAGGCUUCAACGGGUUCUCCCGUUACAGAGAGAUGAUGUGGAUGUGCAUCAGCAGAGUGCAGAAUAAUAAGUUCUGAAUAUUAGGUGGUAACACGGAGUAAUUCGCCCUAAAC